UCCGGGUGUGGUUGUGCACACCUGUAAUCCAGCAGAUCAGGAGGCUUGAGGCAGGAGGAUCAUGAGUUCAAAAUCAGCCUCAGCAACUUAGUGAGGCCCUAAACAACUCAGUGAGACCCUGUCUCUA
rnacentral:sRNA from 1 species